CUGCUGCUGCCAGCUUGGCACAUGACAACCUGUAAUGCUUAACGAGAUUGGAAACGAGGAGGUGGUAUGACACACGACGCAUUAUGGAGUUGCCAAAGCUACCCUAAUUCAAUGAAGUCUUGGGCUGCUGUAAGGAAGAGCUGGAGACCAUGCUGAAACGUCGCUGGAGACAGAACGCUGAACCAUUAAUUCUCCAUAUUACACAUAUACAGUAGCAGAAGACGAGAACAUCUGGAGCUCACCUUCCUCCUUUUCAGCUGGUCUAACAGUGGACACCCGAGAGAGAAGAG